GUCCCUGUAGUGCAACUAUGAAUAGUGUGUGCGUUGGACUUCUAAUCCAAAGGUCGUGGGUUCGAAUCCCACCUGGGAUG